rnacentral:lncRNA from 1 species
GUAAGGCCUGUGCACACUCUACCUUCUUCAGAUUCCACUUUGUGAGAUUUCACUAGGUAUGUUGUUGUUGUUGUUGGUCACUUCAUCACUUUUCUCUAUUACUUCCAGUUCUUUUAUGCAUCUACAUAUGGGAUGUAUCAUCUUACGCUCUCCAUAUGAUGUAGUUCAUUUCCUUUGUUACCACAACACCAUCAAGUCUUCUGUCAAGGAAAUAAGGUGGCAAAUAAAUUACAUAAGCCAACGUCGGAAUGUCACUGAAUUGAGUAGUAUAGGCAAAUAGCAACCUAUGAGACGACGCAACCUAAUAACAAACACGGUUGGUCAACUAUAAAGUUUCAGGUUAGGUAGUAUACACUGAACAUCUUACUUUAUUAUUUUCUCACCCUGUUAAAUUGUAAUCUUUAUCCAUUAUACCUCAACAUUUUGAUUAAUUAGAUCGAAGCAUAUUAGUUCAUGUGAGAUGUUUGAUUAUUAUGUUUGAAUAAGGUUAAUAUGUUGAUAUUCAAACAUAUUAAGUUAUUUGAGAUGUUAUUCUGUUUGUGCAUUUCAAGUUCACUUUUUCCGACUUAAUUUUGAAUUUUUUUGAGUAUUUGGUGUAAAUAUGAGAUUCAUAUGAAAGGUAUUCUCUUCUACUGUAUGAAAGACUCUAAGACCCGAUGAGUCAUCUGCUUCUUCAGUUUAGUAGAAAUUCUUUCAUGCUAUUGCAUGAAACAUUUGCCUGGUCUCUUAUUGCUAUCUGAACUAGCUUGAAAAGUAUGGUUGCUCUCUUCUUUUCUGUUGAUCCUUAUCGAGAAUUUCCUCCUUUUUCCACUCUGCCCUGAAGAUUACCUAUAUAGGCUUCACAACCAUCCCUGCUUGCAUUUUUAUAAAAAGAUCAAUAGUGGUUGUCAAGCAUCUCCCCAAUACAUUUGUAUUACCCACCAAACAAGAAAAUAUUUCUAACAUAUUUAUUAUAUUUGGUUUCCAAUUGUCUUUGGCAAGGCCAACAAGUUAAAUUAAUUGAUGAUUCCUCUGUGGUUCAGCUUGAUUCUCUUAUCUGAACCUUGAGUGAGAUUUAAUAACAAUUUUCCAAUUGUCGACUUUCAUAUAUGUUUCUUAUAUUCUUCUUUGUCCUGCUUCAUGUUUUCCAAUUGCAGGGAGAAUUCUGAUUUUUGUUACUCUAGGUUGAAACUUAGUGUUCUUGAAUCUCACAAAUUUAAUAGGUAUAGCAUAUUAGUCAUAUGAAUUGAAGCUAACAUAAUUAUUGGUUACUCUUUAGGAUGAUGAUAAUCCUUCUUUGUCAAAUGCUUACAUGGCGUCCAAAAAUUUUCAAAUUCUGAAUUUUAUAGUUAUUCUACCAUCUAUUAUUGCGAGAGAUGGGACUUGAGGAUCACUGCAUUAAACAUGAGAAGUGGCUGACAUGUUUGAGCCAGGUGUGGCACCAAAUGCUAUAACAAGGAUGUCACUAACAUUGAAGAGUUCUCUUACUAUUUUGGAGCUAUUAAUGCAAGGUAAACAAAUGGAUAGGAAACGUGGCAGAAGGCUGAAAUUAGAUAUGUUACAUGUAAAUUUCUUUUUUUCCAGAUUAAGGACAAUUAUGUAAUUUUCUUUUUCCAAUUUCUAUUUUUGCUUGCCGCAUGUUUCCAAAGAUCCACACAGUGGAUCUAAAAACUUCCACAUCUUUUAUUCUCAAAAUCCUACUUUUAUGUUCCAUGAAGAACAACAGCUUCAUUUCAUCCCAAUUUUAGAAAGGUUUGCUCCUUACAACAACAAGGAAAGGGUACAUCUCAUUUCCCGUGUUUUCUCUUCAUGGAUAUUGUGGGUUUUCUUUUCAAUCUCAAUUGUUGCUUCUUAGAUUUGCUAAACUUUCUUACUGGUGGUGCGUUUUUGGCUUGAUUUGCUGGGUUUAUGUGUUAUUCAAUGUUUUCUUUUCUAUCCUAAAUUACCACCUUCUACUUGGAGUCAAUUUUUAUUUAUUUUGUUUUUUAAUUUAUGUGUGAACGUCACUUGCUGGAUUUGCACGCGAGCUGCUAUUUGUUGGGAGUUUCGACGAACAAUAGGAAAACAAAAGGUGCUGCUUUCUUUUCUAGCCUAUUUUGCUUUCUUUCAUGAUUUUUCCCUCUAAUAUUAAAACAGCUGGAAAACAUUUGGUUGCCAUGUACUUAGUUUACUGCCUUCAAUUGUUCUAAUCUAUUGGUCUUAUUUCUCCUCUUUAAUUUGUUAUAUAUUUAAAAAAAAUACUUCAACGGUGCUAUAAACUACAAUAAUUUAACAAUUUAAAAUAGAACAUAAGUAUGUAUGUCAGUACAUCUUAUUUGUUUCUUCUCGCAUAUGUUACUUGUAAUUUACUUUCCUUCUCUACCUAUUGGUUAAAUUUUACUUUCUCUUAUUUAUGUGAUCUGUGGAUGUUUUCAUAUGCAUAAUAAAUCUUUACAGCAAUAACAUCAAUUUCCCAAAACAAAUAGAUAAGUAUUGGAAAAGAAAAUGAUCAAUAUGCUAUAGCUGAGAACAAAGAGCUUUUGCAAGUCUUUAUUUUUGUCUUUUAAAUGAGUUGAUCUUUAAUUUAAGUCAAUAGCUAAAAGAACUUAUACCUACAUAAAAUAAGUUAGUUUGUUGGAUCUGGAUCAAUUUGUUGUCAUUUAAGUGCAAUUUGAACUGAGACAGACAGAUCAUUGUUCCCUAACUCUAAAGCUUUCAAGUAAGAACACUCCCCUAUGCUUGCAGAGAUACUUCCUGUUAGCUUAUUGUCUGAUAGAUUAAUGACUUCAAGAAGAGUUACCUUUAGUAUUUCUAAUUCAUAAACAAAACUUCUAAUCUUUGUUUUUAACUGUAGUAGUGUAAGUUUGGUUGCACUUUCAUGACUAUACCAUCUUACUUUUCGUGGCCUACUAUGAGAUCAUGUAUCGCAAGGUGAAAGAAAUUUAGACUCACAUUUACUUUUAGUAUUUUUUAAUUCAAACACAAGACUUCCAACAUUUAGCUUUAACUUGAGUAACUGUUUUGUUAGCUUUAACUAGAGUAAUUGUUUCAUGCAUGUGUAAAGCACAAUGCAGUUUCAAGAUUCAAUACUCUAAAUCAAGAAAUAGAAAGCUGGUAAAGAUUAGCUUAAAUGUUCAUUCUACAUCUAUGAAUGCUCUACGAUAUGCUAUCCUAAGUUCUAUGUUCUAUCAAUUGGCUUAAAAUUGUAUAUAUGUCUCGUGAUAUAUGAUAAAAGAGAGAACACUAACAUAGACUUGAGCACUUAGCAUCUGACUGUACCAAGUGAGGUUAAUUACAUGAAGGGGGUCUACUUGAAAUAUUUUUUUAACUGGCAAGAAGAAGACACCUUUCUUAAUUCUCAUAUUUACUUGUGUGACAUUGUUACUCCCAGGAAAUACUCGAAAACUGUAGUCAAUAGAUGGUGCUUCUAUAUCAGCAAGUAUUUUCUUUUUAAACAUUUUUUAAUGAUAAUUUUAGUAGCUCUAAGUCCAAUAAAUCAAAUAUAAGUCUUAUACAAUGUCUAAGUGGAAAUACUAGAAAGGUAGCAACUAUGUCCUCGAAUAUAUGAGUACAUACCAAGCUUCUUGAGCAGAGUCAAUAUCCCAAGCUUCCUCAAAAGAUCUCUUCACUUUCCACCACCAACACUUGUAACAAUAGAGAAAAUAUGGAAUUAGUACAAUAAUUACUAAGUAUGAUGACCAUGCAAGAAAACAUGCACAACGGACAUUUACAAGAAAUGUUUGCUUUUAAGACCUUUGUAUUGCGCACAUUGGUUUAAUUUGUCAUCAUUUAUUUUUUCUCAUUUCAGGUAUAAGAAUGACCCAGUUGCCCUAGAAAAAUUUAUGUGAAGCAAGAUGUUUUGUUAUUAGUGGACUGAAGUCUUUGGCAUUAAUGAAAUGGUGAAGCAUUGUUCACCAGUGUAGUGUGCACUGCAGACAAUGUGGAGGUGACUUUUUGAGAAGGACAUGUAUUAGGUCUUAACCAUAGAACACCCUUUCCUUUUGACAUUCUGGUCUACCUUGUGUCAUACAUAGACCCAGUGUAGUUUUUGUUCACUAUGCACCGUCUUUUGGUUAUUCCCAUAUAUGUAUUUCUGUUCAGUAUGGAUAGAACGUUGCAGUAGAUAAACUCACUACAUUUCUUCUUUUG